AAUUGAGUUAAGUUAUCGUUCAUCGCUCACAGACCAAAGUGGAACAUUCGCGAACAUUUUGCGGAGGAAAGGAAAUGAAGCCUUUGCACCGUGAAAGAGGAAUCGCCAGUUCCUUCUAAGAAACAAUCUGUGUAAAAUCCUCGAGAUCUCGUGUGACAAACCAUCUGGUCAACUUAUCUAGAUAUCUUCCGGCUCCUAUUUCUCUGGGCGGCGGUAAAUCAUUUAUGCUCGUAGGAUCACUACGGGAAGACGCGAUCCAGCAAGAAAGCCUUGAGGGGUUACGAAGCACCCACGCCACAACUGAUGAGGAAAGCUUUAUGUCUACAAGGAAGACCGCCUCGUUGUUCCAUUUGCAUGGGGCCAUAAACAUAAUACGUAGGAAGAUAA